CUGCUUUAAAGAAAUCGCCAACAGCUGAACUCAAGCCAGAUACCACUCCUAAAGCAAGUGCCACUGAACCAGUCGCUCCAGCUGUAAAGGAAGUCCCACCCACAACGCCUGAACCCAAGCCCAAACCAGACGCCACUCCUAAACCAAGUAUCAACCCAAAGCCAGUUGAGAAGACCGGCGUCUUGAUUGAUACCGAUCUCCUGGAUCUGACUGAGAGGUCAGUGUGUCUUUCUCGAUAAAAGCAAACCAAUAUACUGAAUUCAUCAUCCAAACAUGAAUGGUGCUGCUGAAUUUUUAUAGAUUGCCCUUGCUUGCACG
ensembl:lncRNA